UUGGAGGGCAAGUCUGGUGCCAGCAGCCGCGGUAAUUCCAGCUCCAAUAGCGUAUAUUAAAGUUGUUGCAGUUAAAAAGCUCGUAGUUGAAUUUCGGAAUCUGUCCGUCGGUCGGGCUUCACUGUCCGUACUGGUGUGAUGGGUUUCUACCUUCUGAAUAACCGGCAUGUCAUUAAUUUGGUGCGCCGGGGAAGCAGAACUAUUACCUUGAAAAAAUUAGAGUGCUUAAAGCAGGCUAUCGCCUGAAUAGAUUAGCAUGGAAUAAUAAAAUAGGACGGCAUGGUUCUAUUUUGUUGGUUUCUAGGAUCACCGUAAUGAUUAAUAGGGAUAGUUGGGGGCAUUAGUAUUCAAUUGUCAGAGGUGAAAUUCUUGGAUUUAUUGAAGACUAACUUCUGCGAAAGCAUUUGCCAAGGAUGUUUUCAUUAAUCAAGAACGAAAGUUAGGGGAUCGAGGACGAUCAGAUACCGUCGUAGUCUUAACCAUAAACUAUGCCGACUAGGGAUCGGACGAUGUUAAUUUUUUAAUGACUCGUUCGGCGCCUUACGGGAAAC
rnacentral:rRNA from 1 species